UUAAGGCUGGAUCAUUCUGGUCCGGCUGGCGUGUGCCACCCGGUUAAAAGGGAACACGGUGCGGCGUAGCCAAAAGGCACCAAAUCCGUGACUGCCCCCGCAACUGUGAGCGGAGAGCGAAGCUGCAAGAUACCACUGCCUUUCAGGGCGGGAAGGUGCAGCAGAGCCACGACCCGCGAGUCAGGAGACCUGCCAGGAUGAUCACCCUGUU
rnacentral:ncRNA from 2 species